rnacentral:rRNA from 1 species
UACAGAGGUCUCGAGCGUUGUUCGGAUUCAUUGGGCGUAAAGGGUGCGUAGGUGGCGCUGUAAGUCGGGUGUGAAAUCCUGAGGCUUAACCUCGGAACUGCAUUCGAUACUGCGGCGCUUGAGGACUGGAGAGGAGACUGGAAUUCAUGGUGUAGCAGUGAAAUGCGUGGAGAUCAUGAGGAAGACCAGUGGCGAAGGCGGGUCUCUGGACAGUUCCUGACACUGAGGCACGAAGGCCAGGGGAGCAAACGGG